GAUGAACGCUGGCGGCGUGCCUAAUACAUGCAAGUCGAGCGAACAGAUGAGGAGCUUGCUCCUCUGACGUUAGCGGCGGACGGGUGAGUAACACGUGGAUAACCUACCUAUAAGACUGGGAUAACUUCGGGAAACCGGAGCUAAUACCGGAUAAUAUAUUGAACCGCAUGGUUCAAUAGUGAAAGACGGUUUUGCUGUCACUUAUAGAUGGAUCCGCGCCGCAUUAGCUAGUUGGUAAGGUAACGGCUUACCAAGGCGACGAUGCGUAGCCGACCUGAGAGGGUGAUCGGCCACACUGGAACUGAGACACGGUCCAGACUCCUACGGGAGGCAGCAGUAGGGAAUCUUCCGCAAUGGGCGAAAGCCUGACGGAGCAACGCCGCGUGAGUGAUGAAGAUCUUCGGAUCGUAAAACUCUGUUAUUAGGGAAGAACAAAUGUGUAAGUAACUAUGCACGUCUUGACGGUACCUAAUCAGAAAGCCACGGCUAACUACGUG
rnacentral:rRNA from 1 species